AUUGAACGCUGGCGGCAUGCUUUACACAUGCAAGUCGAACGGCAGCGCGGGCUUCGGCCUGGCGGCGAGUGGCGAACGGGUGAGUAAUGCAUCGGAACGUGCCCAGUAGUGGGGGAUAGCCCGGCGAAAGCCGGAUUAAUACCGCAUACGACCUGAGGGUGAAAGCGGGGGACCGAAAGGCCUCGCGCUAUUGGAGCGGCCCAUGUCGGAUUAGCUAGUUGGUGGGGUAAAGGCUUACCAAGGCGACGAUCCGUAGCUGGUCUGAGAGGACGACCAGCCACACUGAGACUGAGACACGGCCCAGACUCCUACGGGAGGCAGCAGUGGGGAAUUUUGGACAAUGGGGGCAACCCUGAUCCAGCCAUGCCGCGUGCGGGAAGAAGGCCUUCGGGUUGUAAACCGCUUUUGUUCGGGAAGAAAGCCUCUGGGCUAAUACCCCGGGGGGAUGACGGUACCGGAAGAAUAAGCACCGGCUAACUACGUG
rnacentral:rRNA from 1 species